GAAAGUGCUUGUGUGCCCACGGUCCCAACGAUCGGCUCCUGGGUGUCUCGAGGCACACUGGAAAUGAGUCCCAUAAGGCGUUCAGGGAAGUGGAUGAGAGGCGUUUCCCCAGCCUUGCAUGUGUGAUCCAGAUGCACUGAGAAAUUCCUCCUGCAGGACGACUUGGUGUUCCUGGGACACAUCCAGGAGAGGCGCCUCCUGCGGGCUUCGGGGCACAACUGCAGGCUGUCCAGGCUCAUCGAGUACCUGCAGGCCCUCUGGGAUCAGGAUGAUGUGUGUCGCCGAGAAAGUGCUUGUGUGCCCACGGUCCCAACGAUCGGCUCCUGGGUGUCUCGAGGCACACUGGAAAUGAG